rnacentral:rRNA from 1 species
GAUGAACGCUAGCGGCAGGCCUAACACAUGCAAGUCGAGGGGUAACUAGAGUGAUAGCAAUAUUACUUUGGCUAGACCGGCGCACGGGUGCGUAACACGUAUGCAACCUACCUUAUACUGGGGAAUAACUUCGAGAAAUCGGCGCUAAUACCCCAUAACAUUGCGAAGAGGCAUCUCUUUGCAAUUAAAGCUCCGGCGGUAUAAGAUGGGCAUGCGUCCAAUUAGCUAGUUGGUGAGGUAACGGCUCACCAAGGCUACGAUUGGUAGGGGUUCUGAGAGGAUGAUCCCCCACACUGGUACUGAGACACGGACCAGACUCCUACGGGAGGCAGCAGUGAGGAAUAUUGCGCAAUGGACGAAAGUCUGACGCAGCCAUGCCGCGUGCAGGAUGACGGCCCUAUGGGUUGUAAACUGCUUUUGUACGAGAAUAAACCCUUCUACGUGUAGGAGGCUGAAGGUACCGUAAGGAUAAGCACCGGCUAACUCCGUGCCAGCAGCCGCAGUAA